rnacentral:rRNA from 1 species
UACGUAGGGUGCGAGCGUUGUCCGGAAUUAUUGGGCGUAAAGAGCUUGUAGGCGGUUUGUCGCGUCUGCCGUGAAAUUUCGGGGCUCAACCCCGAACUUGCGGUGGGUACGGGCAGACUAGAGUGCGGUAGGGGGAGAUUGGAAUUCCUGGUGUAGCGGUGGAAUGCGCAGAUAUCAGGAGGAACACCGAUGGCGAAGGCAGAUCUCUGGGCCGUAACUGACGCUGAGGAGCGAAAGCAUGGGGAGCGAACAGG